GAUGAACGCUAGCUACAGGCUUAACACAUGCAAGUCGAGGGGCAUCAUUAUCGAAGCUUGCUUUGAUAGAUGGCGACCGGCGCACGGGUGAGUAACGCGUAUCCAACCUUCCCCUUAGUAGGGCACAGCCCGGCGAAAGUCGGAUUAAUUCCCUAUGUUGUUUGAUGCUGACAUCAAAAUCAAACCAAAGAUUCAUCGCUAAGGGAUGGGGAUGCGUCUGAUUAGGCAGUUGGCGGGGUAACGGCCCACCAAACCGACGAUGGGUAGGGGUUCUGAGAGGAAGGUCCCCCACAAUGGAACUGAGACACGGUCCAUACUCC
rnacentral:rRNA from 1 species